CGGCCGGCUCCUCUAAAAUGAAUCAGCUUACCAGUGUUUGGUGGGUACCAUGGGUGUGAUAACUAUCUACGCUUGUGGUUUUCCACCAGGUAACCUUCAGCAGUUGGAGGUUCAUUGGAGCUCAUAGAUGUCUCUCCUCAGUGAGGACAGCCCUUUGAAUGUUUGAUCUCAAAUCAGGUAGGACUACCCGCUGAACUUAA
rnacentral:misc_RNA from 1 species